rnacentral:tRNA from 1 species
GGCCAGGUGGCGAAGUGGCUAACGCAUUGGUCUGCAAAACCAAUAUACGAGGGUUCAAUUCCCUCCCUGGCCU